AUUGCACGCUAGCGGGAUGCCUUACACAUGCAAGUCGAACGGAGUGGCGAACGGGGGAGUAAUGUAUCGGAACGUGCCCAGUAGCGGGGGAUAACUACGCGAAAGCGUAGCUAAUACCGCAUACUAUUGGAGCGGCCGCUAUCGGAUGAGCUAGUGGGUGGGGUACGGGCUCACCAAGGCGACGAGCCGGAGCUGGGUUGAGAGGACGACCAGCCAAACUGGGACUGAGACACGGCCCAGACUCCUAAGGGAGGCAGCAGGGGGGAAUUGUGGACAAUGGGGGAAACCCGGAUCCAGCCAUACCGCGUGUGCGAUGAAGGCCUUCGGGUUGUAAAGCACUUUUGGCAGGAAAGCGGUACCUGCAGAAUAAGCACCGGCUAACUACGUGCCAGCAGCCGCGGUAAUAC
rnacentral:rRNA from 1 species